rnacentral:tRNA from 1 species
GUGGCUCAGUUGGUAAAGCAUCUGCCUGCAAUGCAGGAGAUGCAGGUUCAAUCCCUGGGUC